rnacentral:lncRNA from 1 species
UAUCAAUAUGUCAUGGUUAAUCAUGACGGAACUCAAUCUUUGAGCCUACCUAUCCACAUCAUGGCUAAAUUCUAUCUCUUCAGUCUGUUCUCUCACAUUUAGCAUGAUUUAUAAUCGAAUUUUAUCUAAUCCAGCAAAAAUCAUGUGAUUUCAUCUUUUCGAACUCAAUUUAAUCUAAUCUAAUCCACAUGGUAUCUGU